UUACAGAUGGUGGAUGGAGCAUUGGUACUAAGAUAAACUAUGAUGCAGAUGGUGAUAACUAAUAAAUUCUGCAGGAGUACAGGUCUUUCAAUAUAUACAGGUUAAGUCAUCUGAAUUGCCGUGUUUUUAAGUGUGAAAUCUUCGAAACAAAAUGGCUACUUUCCAUUGGCAGCAUUUUCUGGUGUUGUUUGUUGUCUCGACUGUUACCCUAUUCUUGUACUCACUGUCUUGUUAUUAGGUGACAAUGCCUCUUGAGUUGAUAUGUAUCAAACUGCAAGAGAACGACAUCAUGAAGUCCUUAGGUCAGAUACUGUGAUGGCUUGUUAUCCUUACCACGGAAUGGUAGAAACAAGAUUCACCAUCCAAGGCCGGUUGCUGACGACGAUGGAGCCGGGCGCUUUUGGAGUCAUGACAAUGGCGGGAAAGCGGAUGAAGGGAUCGGAGAGACGGAGGUGCUUCCAGACAGAGCCUCCCGCUUCCACCUGAAGCUCAGCUUUGCUUUCCUCACUAAUGCGAUUCCUUCCUUCCCAAAGUCCAAGUCCAACCACUCCACCUCUUCAUCUCACCGUCUCGCUCUCUCUCUCUCUCUCUCUCUCUCUCUCUCUCUCUCUCAUGGACUACUCGGGCGGGCGGCCGGGGCCGGCGCCGGGGAGAGCGCGGGUGCGGGCGCGGUGUUGCUACUGCCGCUGCUUCCGGCGGUGGGGCCGCUGCUUCUGCGGCUGCUACUGCUGCAACUCCUUCCCUACCCAGGACGACCUCCGCGGCCCCGCCGCCGCCACCUGAGCUCCAACGCCCUCCAGGAUUUCGCCCCCACCACCACUUACCGCUACCAUACCAGAUACAUUAAUCAUGUAACCAUAUGCUCACUAUGAAGACUGCACCAAGCUUUGUUGCUAUAUAAACUAGGCAAGACCAGUUUUCUAUUCAGAUGUGAGAGCAUGUUAAUGCUCAGGAGUUAGCUGCUGUUUAAAGUACUUCGCUUUCAAGUUUAGUGAACAAUCCAUGGACCUACUGCUUUAUUACUAUGCGUGAGGAUGGAAACCAAGUGAUCAUUUCCAUGGACACCUCAGUUUGUAUGUGAUGAUUUGUGAAAACCAAAGCAGAGUGUUUCCUGUAACAUAUAACAACUACUUCUACAUAUACGCGAAUUACCUAUACAUGAUGUGAAUUAUAGUUGCUGUUUCA